CAGUAGCACGGUAACACGAAGGGUGCAAGCGUUACUCGGAAUUACUGGGCGUAAAGCGUGCGUAGGUGGUGGUUUAAGUCCGUUGUGAAAGCCCUGGGCUCAACCUGGGAAUUGCAGUGGAUACUGGGUCACUAGAGUGUGGUAGAGGAUAGUGGAAUUUCCGGUGUAGCAGUGAAAUGCGUAGAGAUCGGAAGGAACAUCUGUGGCGAAGGCGACUAUCUGGGCCAACACUGACACUGAGGCACGAAAGCGUGGGGAGCAAACAGGAUUAGAUACCCGCGUAGUCCCUGUCUCUUAUACA
rnacentral:rRNA from 1 species